rnacentral:tRNA from 1 species
UCCCUGAUAGCUCCAUUGGUAAAGAAUCUGUCUGCAACUCAGGAGACCCUGGUUCAAUUCCUGGUUGGGAAG